rnacentral:rRNA from 1 species
AUUGAACGCUGGCGGCAUGCCUUACACAUGCAAGUCGAACGGCAGCACGGGGGCAACCCUGGUGGCGAGUGGCGAACGGGUGAGUAAUACAUCGGAACGUAUCCAGUCGUGGGGGAUAACCAGUCGAAAGAUUGGCUAAUACCGCAUGAGAUCGAAAGAUGAAAGCGGGGGACCCCGAGGCAACUGAGGGGCCUCGCGCGAUCGGAGCGGCCGAUGUCGGAUUAGCAGUUGGCGGGGUAAGGAGUCCACCAAGGCGACGAUCCGUAGCUGGUUUGAGAGAACGACCAGCCACACUGGGACUGAGACACGGCCCAGACUCCUAC